UACGAAGGGGGCUAGCGUUGCUCGGAAUUACUGGGCGUAAAGCGCACGUAGGCGGCUUUCUAAGUCGGGGGUGAAAUCCUGGAGCUCAACUCCAGAACUGCCUUCGAUACUGGAAAGCUCGAGUCCGGGAGAGGUGAGUGGAACUGCGAGUGUAGAGGUGAAAUUCGUAGAUAUUCGCAAGAACACCAGUGGCGAAGGCGGCUCACUGGCCCGAUUACUGACGCUGAGGCACGAAAGCGUGGGGAGCAAACAGG
rnacentral:rRNA from 1 species